GCAGCGAGCAGCCCGGCAAGCCUCGGGAAGAUGCCCCAGCGCAAGCCUUAGUUUUCCAGUGGGAUCCUCUAAAGGAGAAGCAGCAACAGAAGUGAAAAAGGAAUGUGUUUGUGUACUCAUGUGGAUGCAUGAAUGACAAAUCAGUACAUCACAUGGCAGAAUCAUAUAGUGUCUGAGAAGCAGAUAGACUGGUUCAUAGGAAGACUCACCUACUCAUCUGUUCAUUCUCAAGAAAUGUAAACUCCUUAAUUCACUGCACAUCUAACUGGAAAACCCAGGGCCCUGUGAUGUAUCCUGAGCCCUACCACCCAAGGAAGCACUGCAAUUUGAUGACACAUUAAACAGUGUCACUAGUAGAAACAACUUCUAGGUAUAAACACUGAAAAUCUUUACAAGUACUGGUCAAUUGCUUGUUGAAGAAACUGCUGUCAGAGGGUCCCCCUUCAGCUGGCUGCUACCAUCCCUUUGCCAGUAGCUGUCCACACCACAGAGCUCCCCUUCAUUCCUAUUACAAAUGGUAGCAGGUUAAUUUAACACAAGAAAAGCUCUUUACUUUAAUCUGGCUGACAUUACCCUAGAGCAGAUUCUCACUGUCUCUUUCCACAUGGCUUUCAGGGCAAUGGCAUUACAAAAAAAAAAAAAAGUUGGUAACCAACAACAAAAAGGAAAGCACAUCUGAAACCAGUGUGCUGAUCUACAGUGGAUGUAUACCACAUCCUAAAACACAAAAUGUCAGUCAAAGAUGAAAUCUGCAGGCAAAACCAAUCUUUGCAUGCCAGUGCCUUUCCUUUGAAAGAGAUUAAAGAAAAAAGUAAUUGCAGUGAAAAACUACUCCGUUACCUAAACAAAAUCUAAGAGCACAUACCUUGAAGAAAAAGAAUGCAUUCUGGAAAUUAUUAACAACUAGUUGACUUCCCUUAUGGUAAUGUUAGAAUUUGAAGCUAAGGAAAAAGACAGUAAAUUUCAGCAGAUAGAUCUCAAUUUCCCUUCUCUAGUGCUCAGACCUGAAUGUUAACAUGAUAGUAAAUUUUGGCCACAGCAACUUUUUUCCUUGAUUUUUAUUUCUUUCCUGUGAAACACUGAAAGUGUUUUUAUCUUUUUUUCAUUUCAGUCUGGUUUAGGUUCGUCAAAUUUUAUUUUUCUGUACAACUGCCCAAAAUGCUGAGUGUUAUGGUGAUAUACACAAAUUUCAAACUGAGUUUCCAAGGCUUUCUUCUGGAAAAUGCCAAUUUCUUCUAAAACACUCAUUUUCAAUUGAAAAAAAAAAAUUGAGCUUCUCUUUUCUCAGGAUGGAUCUCAUUUCAAGCUUGCAGUGAUUUGUCACCUUUUCAUCCAAAUCUUGGAAUAUAAUUCAAGAUGAUUUUCCAAUUAGCCAGAUCUUGAUGUAGAGUGGAAGAGGCACUUCUGUGGAGCUUGCAUUGGUCUGUAGGUUCCCCCUGUAGCUGUCAAUGAAAAUCUUCUCUUGAUUAUGGCAAGGAAAGGAAAGGAGGCUUGAAAGAGUGGGAACACCCAGUAGAAAAUAAAAAUCUUUACAAAGAAUUAAAGAUUUCUAUUCUACUCUGUCUUUAUUGUCAGCAAAUCUCAAAACAAAUAUAAAUAGUGCCCCUUAGCACCAAUAUAUCUGACUCCCUCAGGUUUCCCCAUCCUUCUUUUGUUAAUACCUUAUUUUUGUUAAUAAUCUUUUGUUAAUAUUUGUUAAUAUCAGUCCUAUGGAAAAUGAAACCUGGUAAGUACUGAUCAGCCUAGGCAUGGAAACCAAUGCUGCAUUACUCAAAUAAGAAGGAUCUCCCUGAUUUCAAACAGGAGUCUGAAAAACCAAGUGACACCAACACGAAGUCCCCCAUGUCCCUUCCCAGAUGUCCCUCAGCCAGGACUUGCCUAUUCCCUGCUGCUGCAAACCUGGGUCUUUUCACACCAGAAUACAGCACUCAUGCCAAAUUGUGAAGUGGUUUUACAAGGUGGAAAGGCACCAGCUAGGGGCUAAAGAAAGGCCAAUAAACUUCUCUAACUUGUAACAAAAUAACAGAUUUAAACCCAGGUCAACUGAGGUGAAGGGCAAGUGCAUUAAUCGCCUGCAUUAACAAGGCUCUGUGUGCCUGCAGCAGCCCUCAAUUGGAAAAGACAGUACAUCUUCCUGUAAAUAAGACAAAUAAACAGCAGCUACAACAACAAGUCUUCCCCCAAUUUCUUUUACUUUUCAUUAAAUGAGUAAUCUGAUUUUUAUUAAGUCCUCUUCAAAGGCCAUGCAGGCCACUCUUUCUAACUGUGCCUGUUUGCAGCAGAUGCACACUCCGAGAUGCACAUCACGGCCUGACGGGGGCCUGGAAAGGAACCUCAGCCAGUUUUGUUCUUAAGUGAUAAUCGAAGAAAUCCUCUGUCACGUGUUGUGGCAGUGUGAGUUGGCCAUACCAGGACGAAGAGUCAUGCAGAUGUUACCCAAAUGCUUCCAUUAACUUAAUCUUCCUCAGAAGAGCCCUUCUGCUGCCAAGUACUUAAGAGUGUCACUUGGGAUUUAGAUGCCAUUUUUGUUCACUACUGAAGACCGGUCAUGUGUAGGAAUCUGCAGCCUUGAUAAUAGGGUUUACAGAACACCAUGAAAAUAGAUUACUGACUGCUGAAAACAUUUUAAAAAGACAAUGUUACCUUUUUUACUAGCCUUAAGUGCUUUCUGGCAUGGAAGACUUAAUGAUUGUUUACUCCGGUACGUUUUCUAGAAUGUCAGCUUAGAACAAAAUAAGGAACAUCAUAAUAAUUAGCUGAGAUGCUGACAAUAUGAACCAAGAGUUGAGAUCAAUACAUGUUUCCAUACACAUCAUUUUAGAAAACAAAACUGUAUUUCUGUGAUCAGAAAAUGCAUCAAACUUUUUUAAUUGUCCUAGCAUAUGCUGUUAUCUCAGUAAUGAAACCAGUUUUGCUUUUUUCCUUUUUUAACUCAGUUGUUAUGUGGGAAGAUGUAGUAGUAUAAAAUAGCAGGAAAUAGUAUGAGUAAAUUUAACUUGAACAGUUUAGUAUGUGUUUUAGAGAAAAGAUUAACAAGUCCAAUUUUUUUUCAACUGUCUUUUCAUCUCCAUUUUUUUCCUCUUGCAUUCUGCUUCAGCCAAGCAAUUCCAACAGUUCAGAAGGACAGAUGUUCCAUCUCAUUCUAUUCCCAGACAAGUCACUCUGUAAAAUUACAUUUCUUUUGAAACAUUAGUACAACAGUUUAAAGACCAUCAGAAGU